AGGAGUUUGAUCCUGGCUCAGGAUGAACGCUAGCUACAGGCUUAACACAUGCAAGUCGAGGGGCAGCAUGGGCUUAGCUUGCUAAGCCCGAUGGCGACCGGCGCACGGGUGAGUAACACGUAUCCAACCUGCCGAUCACUCCGGUACAGCCUUUCGAAAGAAAGAUUAAUCCCGGAUUGUAUGGCGAUUCCGCAUGGUUUCUCCAUUAAAGGUUUUUUCCGGUGAUCGAUGGGGAUGCGUUCCAUUAGGCAGUUGGCGGGGUAACGGCCCACCAAACCUACGAUGGAUAGGGGUUCUGAGAGGAAGGUCCCCCACAUUGGAACUGAGACACGGUCCAAACUCCUACGGGAGGCAGCAGUGAGGAAUAUUGGUCAAUGGGCGGAAGCCUGAACCAGCCAAGUAGCGUGAAGGAUGACUGCCCUAUGGGUUGUAAACUUCUUUUAUAAGGGAAUAAUUGCGGGUACGCGUACCUGUUUGCAUGUACCUUAUGAAUAAGGAUCGGCUAACUCCGUGCCAGCAGCCGCGGUAAUACGGAGGAUCCCAGCGUUAUCCGGAUUUAUUGGGUUUAAAGGGAGCGUAGGCGGGCGCUUAAGUCAGCUGUGAAAGUUUGGGGCUCAACCUUAAAAUUGCAGUUGAUACUGGGUGCCUUGAGUGCGGUAUAGGCAGGCGGAAUUCGUGGUGUAGCGGUGAAAUGCUUAGAUAUCACGAAGAACUCCGAUUGCGAAGGCAGCUUGCUGGAGCGUAACUGACGCUGAUGCUCGAAAGUGUGGGUAUCAAACAGGAUUAGAUACCCUGGUAGUCCACACAGUAAACGAUGAAUACUCGCUGUUUGCGAUAUAUUGUAAGCGGCCAAGCGAAAGCGUUAAGUAUUCCACCUGGGGAGUACGCCGGCAACGGUGAAACUCAAAGGAAUUGACGG
rnacentral:rRNA from 1 species